AUUGAACGCUGGCGGCAGGCCUAACACAUGCAAGUCGAACGGUAACAGGAAGAAGCUUGCUUCUUUGCUGACGAGUGGCGGACGGGUGAGUCAUGUCUGGGAAACUGCCUGAUGGAGGGGGAUAACUACUGGAAACGGUAGCUAAUACCGCAUAACGUCGCAAGACCAAAGAUGGGGACCUUCGGGCCUCUUGCCAUUGGAUGUUCCCAGAUGGGAUUAGCUAGUAGGUGGGGUAACGGCUCACCUAGGCGACGAUCCCUAGCUGGUCUGAGAGGAUGACCAGCCACACUGGAACUGAGACACGGUCCAGACUCCUACGGGAGGCAGCAGUGGGGAAUAUUGCGCAAUGGGCGCAAGCCUGAUGCAGCCAUGCCGCGUGUAUGAAGAAGGCCUUCGGGUUGUAAAGUACUUUCAGCGGGGAGGAAGGGAGGAAAGUUAAUACCUUUGCUCAUUGACGUUACCCGAAGAAGAAGCACCGGCUAACUCCGUG
rnacentral:rRNA from 1 species